CAGCCGCCACGGUAAUACGUAGGUGGCAAGCGUUGUCCGGAAUUAUUGGGCGUAAAGGGCUCGCGGGCGGUUUCUUAAGUCUGAUGUGAGAGCCCCCGGCUCAACCGGGGAGGGUCAUUGGAAACUGGGGAACUUGAGUGCAGAAGAGGAGAGUGGAAUUCCACGUGUAGCGGUGAAAUGCGUAGAGAUGUGGAGGAACACCAGUGGCGAAGGCGACUCUCUGGUCUGUAACUGACGCUGAGGAGCGAAAGCGUGGGGAGCGAACAGGAUUAGAUACCCGCGUAGUCCCUGUCUCUUAUAC
rnacentral:rRNA from 1 species